rnacentral:rRNA from 1 species
AGGUCUUGACAUCCAGUGCAAACCUAAGAGAUUAGGUGUUCCCUUCGGGGACGCUGAGACAGGUGGUGCAUGGCUGUCGUCAGCUCGUGUCGUGAGAUGUUGGGUUAAGUCCCGCAACGAGCGCAACCCUUGUCAUUAGUUGCCAUCAUUAAGUUGGGCACUCUAAUGAGACUGCCGGUGACAAACCGGAGGAAGGUGGGGAUGACGUCAAGUCAUCAUGCCCCUUAUGACCUGGGCUACACACGUGCUACAAUGGACGGUACAACGAGAAGCGAACCUGCGAAGGCAAGCGGAUCUCUUAAAGCCGUUCUCAGUUCGGACUGUAGGCUGCAACUCGCCUACACGAAGCUGGAAUCGCUAGUAAUCGCGGAUCAGCACGCCGCGGUGAAUACGUUCCCGGGCC